rnacentral:rRNA from 1 species
GUGGGGAAUCUUGCGCAAUGGGCGAAAGCCUGACGCAGCCAUGCCGCGUGAAUGAUGAAGGUCUUAGGAUUGUAAAAUUCUUUCACCGGGGACGAUAAUGACGGUACCCGGAGAAGAAGCUCCGGCUAACUUCGUGCCAGCAGCCGCGGUAAUACGAAGGGGGCUAGCGUUGCUCGGAAUUACUGGGCGUAAAGGGCGCGUAGGCGGACAGCUUAGUCAGAGGUGAAAGCCCAGGGCUCAACCUUGGGAUUGCCUUUGAUACUGGCUGUCUUGAGUUUGGGAGAGGUGAGUGGAACUCCGAGUGUAGAGGUGAAAUUCGUAGAUAUUCGGAAGAACACCAGUGGCGAAGGCGACUCACUGGCCCAAUACUGACGCUGAGGCGCGAAAGCGUGGGGAGCAAACAGGAUUAGAUACCCGGGUAGUCC